rnacentral:rRNA from 1 species
CUGAAACCGUGUACGUACAAGCAGUGGGAGCACAGGUUUACCUGUGUGACUGCGUACCUUUUGUAUAAUGGGUCAGCGACUUAUAUUCUGUAGCAAGGUUAACCGAAUAGGGGAGCCGGAGGGAAACCGAGUCUUAAUUGGGCGUUAAGUUGCAGGGUAUAGACCCGAAACCCGGUGAUCUAGCCAUGGGCAGGUUGAAGGUUGGGUAACACUAACUGGAGGACCGAACCGACUAAUGUUGAAAAAUUAGCGGAUGACCUGUGGCUGGGGGUGAAAGGCCAAUCAAACCGGGAGAUAGCUGGUUCUCCCCGAAAGCUAUUUAGGUAGCGCCUCGUGAAUUCAUCUCCGGGGGUAGAGCACUGUUUCGGCUAGGGGGCCAUCCCGGCUUACCAACCCGAUGCAAACUGCGAAUACCGGAGAAUGUUAUCACGGGAGACACACGGCGGGUGCUAACGUCCGUCGUGAAGAGGGAAACAACCCAGACCGCCAGCUAAGGUCCCAAAGUCAUGGUUAAGUGGGAAACGAUGUGGGAAGGCCCAGACAGCCAGGAUGUUGGCUUAGAAGCAGCCAUCAUUUAAAGAAAGCGUAAUAGCUCACUGGUCGAGUCGGCCUGCGCGGAAGAUGUAACGGGGCUAAACCAUGCACCGAAGCUGCGGCAGCGACGCUUAUGCGUUGUUGGGUAGGGGAGCGUUCUGUAAGCCUGUGAAGGUGUGUCGUGAGGC